rnacentral:rRNA from 1 species
GACGAACGCUGGCGGCGUGCUUAACACAUGCAAGUCGAACGGAAAGGCCCUGCUUUUGUGGGGUGCUCGAGUGGCGAACGGGUGAGUAACACGUGAGUAACCUGCCCUUGACUUUGGGAUAACUUCAGGAAACUGGGGCUAAUACCGGAUAGGAGCUCCUGCUGCAUGGUGGGGGUUGGAAAGUUUCGGCGGUUGGGGAUGGACUCGCGGCUUAUCAGCUUGUUGGUGGGGUAGUGGCUUACCAAGGCUUUGACGGGUAGCCGGCCUGAGAGGGUGACCGGCCACAUUGGGAAUGAGAUACGGCCCAGACUCCUACGGGAGGCAGGAGUGGGGAAUAUUGCACAAUGGGCGGAAGCCUGAUGCAGCAACGCCGCGUGCGGGAUGACGGCCUGCGGGUUGUAAACCGCUUUCGCCUGUGACGAAGCGUGAGUGACGGUAAUGGGUAAAGAAGCACCGGCUAACUACGUG